GAGUUUGAUCCUGGCUCAGAACGAACGCUGGCGGCAGGCUUAACACAUGCAAGUCGAACGGUUGUAGCAAUACAGCAGUGGCGCACGGGUGAGUAACGCGUGGGAACGUACCCUUCAGUUCGGGAUAACAGCGGGAAACUGCUGCUAAUACCGGAUAUUCCCUCCGGGGGAAAGAUUUAUCGCUGAAGGAUCGGCCCGCGUGAGAUUAGGUAGUUGGUGGGGUAAUGGCCUACCAAGCCUACGAUCUCUAGCUGGUCUGAGAGGAUGAUCAGCCACACUGGAACUGAGACACGUCCAGA
rnacentral:rRNA from 1 species